CCUACGGGAGGCAGCAGUGAGGAAUAUUGGUCAAUGGACGAGAGUCUGAACCAGCCAAGUAGCGUGAAGGAUGACUGCCCUAUGGGUUGUAAACUUCUUUUAUAUGGGAAUAAAAUGUUCCACGUGUGGGAUUUUGUAUGUACCAUAUGAAUAAGGAUCGGCUAACUCCGUGCCAGCAGCCGCGGUAAUACGGAGGAUCCGAGCGUUAUCCGGAUUUAUUGGGUUUAAAGGGAGCGUAGGUGGAUUGUUAAGUCAGUUGUGAAAGUUUGCGGCUCAAACGUAAAAUUGCAGUUGAAACUGGCAGUCGUGAGUACAGUAGAGGUGGGCGGAAUUCGUGGUGUAGCGGUGAAAUGCUGAGAUAUCACGAAGAACUCCGAUUGCGAAGGCAGCUCACUGGACUGCAACUGACACUGAGGCUCGAAAGUGUGGGUAUCAAACAGGAUUAGAUACCCCAGUAGUC
rnacentral:rRNA from 1 species